UGGGAUUAAAACGGGCACAAUGAACUCCUCAUAGCAUCUUCUUUGGGAUUACUCAGGAACCAGAACUUUUCACACAAAUGUAAGAAAUUCUACCAAGGAAUCCCUUUGCCUAACAGCAUCUCACACAGCUCCAAUCAGAUGCCAGAAAAGGCCUCUUGAUACAUCCAGGUAGAACCUA
rfam:Equus caballus chromosome 8, whole genome shotgun sequence.